UACGUAUGGUGCAAGCGUUAUCCGGAUUUACUGGGUGUAAAGGGAGCGUAGACGGUGAUGUAAGUCUGAAGUGAAAGCCCGGGGCUCAACCCUGGGACUGCUUUGGAAACUAUGUGACUAGAGUGUCGGAGAGGCAAGUGGAAUUCCCAGUGUAGCGGUGAAAUGCGUAGAUAUUGGGAGGAACACCAGUGGCGAAGGCGGCUUGCUGGACGAUAACUGACGUUGAGGCUCGAAAGCGUGGGGAGCAAACAGG
rnacentral:rRNA from 1 species